GAUAAACGCUGGCGGCGCACAUAAGACAUGCAAGUCGAACGGACUUAACCAUUAGUUUACUAUUGGAGCGGUUAGUGGCGGACUGGUGAGUAACACGUAAGCAACCUGCCUAUCAGAGGGGAACAACAGUUAGAAAUGACUGCUAAUACCGCAUAUGCUAACAGUAUCGCAUGAUACAGUUAGGAAAGGAGCAAUCCGCUAAUAGAUGGGCUUGCGUCUGAUUAGCUAGUUGGUGGGGUAACGGCCUACCAAGGCGACGAUCAGUAGCCGGACUGAGAGGUUGAACGGCCACAUUGGGACUGAGAUACGGCCCAG
rnacentral:rRNA from 1 species